UACGUAGGGGGCAAGCGUUGUCCGGAAUCAUUGGGCGUAAAGCGCGUGUAGGCGGCCAGAAAAGUCCGCUGUGAAAACUCGAGGCUCAACCUCGAGCUGUCGGUGGAAACUUUCUGGCUAGAGUCCGGAAGAGGAGAAUGGAAUUCCUGGUGUAGCGGUGAAAUGCGCAGAUAUCAGGAGGAACACCUGUGGUGUAGACAGCUUACUGGACCAUCACUGACGCUGAGGCACGAAAGCGUGGGUAGCAAACAGG
rnacentral:rRNA from 1 species